rnacentral:SRP_RNA from 1 species
CCUGGUAGCAUCAGCCCAUUACUGCUGUAGCUACUGGGGAGGCUGAGACUGCUGGAUCUCUUGAGCUCAGGAGUUCUGAGCUGCAGUCAUGCUGAAGCUGAUCUGGUGUCUGCACUAAAUCUGGCACCGAUACAGGAAGCUUUCUAAGAGCAGGGGAGGUUACCGGGCUGCCUGAGGAGGGGGGAACUGGCCCAGGAUGGACACAGUGCAGGGCAAAACUUCCAUGCCCAUCAGUACUGGGGUGGGCCUGUGAGUGGCUGCUGCAUUUCCAGCCUGGGUAAAAUAGGGAGAUUCAGUUUCA